AUUGAACGCUGGCGGCAGGCUUAACACAUGCAAGUCGAGCGAGCGGCGGACGGGUGAGUAAUGUCUGGGAAACUGCCUGAUGGAGGGGGAUAACUACUGGAAACGGUAGCUAAUACCGCAUACCAUCAGAUGUGCCCAGCUGGGAUUCGCUAGUAGGUGGGGUAAUGGCUCACCUAGACGACGAUGCCUAGCUGGUCUGAGCGGAUGACCAGGCACACUUGAACGGAGACACGGUCCAGACUCCUAGGAGAGGGAGGAGUGGGGAAUAUUGCACAAUGUGCGCAAGCCUGAUGCAUCCAUGCCGCGUGUGUGAAGAAGGUCUUCGGGUGGUAAAGCAGUUUCAGCGAGGAGGCGUUACUCGCAGAAGAAGCACCGGCUAACUCCGUGCCAGCAGCCGCGGUAAUUC
rnacentral:rRNA from 1 species